rnacentral:rRNA from 1 species
AUUGAACGCUGGCGGUAGGCCUAACACAUGCAAGUCGAACGGCAGCACAGUAAUAGCUUGCUCUUACGGGUGGCGAGUGGCGGACGGGUGCUGGAUAUAUCGGUAUCUACUUUUUCUUGGGGGCUAACGCAGGCAAACUUACGCUAAUACCGCAUACGACCUACGGGUGAAAUCAUGGGAUCUUCCGACCUUGCGCGAUUGAAUGACCCGAUGUCGGAUUAGCUAGUUGGGGGGGUAAAGGCCCACCAAGGCGACGAUCCGUAGCUGGUCUGAGAGGAUGAUCAGCCACACUGGAACUGAGACACGGUCCAGACUCCUACGGGAGGCAGCAGUGGGGAAUAUUGGACAAUGGGCGCAAGCCUGAUCCAGCCAUACCGCGUGUGUGAAGAAGGCCUUCGGGUUGUAAAGCACUUUUGGUGGGAAAGAAAAGCAGCAGGUUAAUACCCCGCUGUUCUGACGGUACCAAAAGAAUAAGCACCGGCUAACUUCGUG